rnacentral:lncRNA from 1 species
CACUUACUAUUCCGUUACAUGUCUCUUCAUUUCUCUAAUUUAUUUUCACACUCAUUGUUUGCUUCGUUUCUCCAACAAAAUGAUGAACUUUUCUUGAUUGUCGUGAUGUGAUGUGUAUAACACAUACCUAUAACAUAUCAUUUUUCCUUUCUUCAUUUCUUUCAUUUUGUUUUUCUUCAUUUUCUCUUUAUGCGUUGGGAAUGUCAUUUACCCCCUCUCAUUUCAUUUUUUUCUUUAUUAUAUGCGUUGUGUUCUUCUUCAUGUUUGUCUUUUUAAUUUUGCAUUAUAUUUGGUGAGGCUCUUUGAUUUUAAAAGAAAGUAUUGUGUUUAAUUUUACCAAGGAUUAUAGGGUGAUCUUCUUCCAAUUUUGUUUGCCCUUUGUCUUCUUCUUAUUUUUUAUAUAUUUACUUAGGUUCUUUUUUUUUAAUCUUAACUUUGGUCAUAUCCUUCAUAAAGUGUUAUUGUUAUGCUGUAAUUAUUUUUUUUUUACUUUUUUUGGUUCAUGAUAUUCUUCUUCGUUUCUGUUUAUUGUUUAAUGCUUUCACUGUUUUUUUAUAUAUCUUACCUUUGGUAAUAACCUUCAUUGAAGUUGACCUAUUAUAAGUUGAUAUUGUUUUCCUAUUUUUUGUCUUAUGUCACUAACUAUUUUCAUUCAUUGAACUGUCAUUCUUAUGCUGUAAUUUUAUUUUUACUUUUCUUGGUUCAUAAUAUUCAUGUUCAUUUGUAUAAGUGUGAGUAGACCCUUAGAAACGACGAGGAACUCUAUAUCCAAGAAUGAAUCUAGCAUUUGUUUAGUGUAAACGUUAGUUUCAUUUUGAACUCCAUUCAACAAUUAUGAAAUAUAUUAAUUUCAAAUAUCAUCAAGGAAGCAUGAUCAUAUUCGCAUUAAUACAAUUGAUC